rnacentral:snRNA from 1 species
GUGUUCACUUCGGCAGCAUGUAUGCUAAAAUUGGAAUGAUACAGAGAAGAUUAGCAUGGCCCCUGUGCAGGGAUGAUACACAAAUUAAUGAAACAUUCCAUAUUUUC